CGCUCCUGUAAGGAGUGAGGGAGAACCGUGCAGACGGAGAGUCUGACUCCACAUGCAGAUGCCACUGGGACUCCGCUGACUGUCGGGGGAGCGGGAGCUGGAACGGCCUUUCAGAGCGAUUCCAAAUUAAGCGCGAUGCAGAGAGUAUUAUCAUCUCCAUUUUGCAGAUGAGGAACCCAAGGCACAGAAAGAUUAAGUAACUCCUCUAAAGUUCCACAAUUGAUGCUGGUGUGGAACAGCCAUCUUGAGGACAAGGGGCAACAAGCAAAAGGACAAAGUCACCCACAGAGGAAACAGAAAGAAAGGAGCCUGAUCUGUGAUGACAUUCUGGAGCUCUCAUCUCACCCUGCACUGCCUAUCUUUGGACUUCUUUUGUGAAAAAUAUAAUCGAACUCCUAUUAAAUCACUGCAAGUUAAAUUUUGUUUAGAGACUACCAAAUAUAUUUCUAACUGACUCAGAUUGGAGGUGGGGGAAGCAAGAAAGGAGAAUCAAAGAUGAUUUCAGCUUUUUUGUUUCCCUGAACAACUAUUUAAAUGGAAAAUUGGGUGAUGAACAGAAUUUAAAUGGGGGUAUGCGUAUGUGUGUGUAUAUGCCUGUGAGUGUCUAUGUGUGAGAGACAGAGAUAAAGAGCAAGAGAGAGAGACAGAGAGAGAUGGAAUCCAAGACUUUGGUUUUGGAUAUGUUAAGCUUAAGAUGUCUGUAAGACAUCUAUGUGGAGAUAUUAACCAAAGAGUUGAUUAUAUGAACUUGUCAUUCAAAGAAGGGUCUGGAAUAGAGAUGAAAUCUGGCAGUUGUCAGCACAGAGAUACUAUUUAAAGUCAUGUAAAUGGCUGAGAUUUCCCAGAGCAGGAAAGUAUAGAGAUGGAAGAGAAAAAGGUCAUGGCUAAACCCAGAGCAUGUCAACAUUUAAAGGCAAGGAGGGGAAGAAGUGUGUAAAAGAAACUAAGAAGGAAUAGCCAGUGGGGAGUAACAGGAGUUAGCAACAAAGUAUUGUCAAGAAAGUGGGCUUCCUAGGCCCAUUUUGCUUGUGCACAGCACAUGAGUGUUGUGUGCUACUCAUUUGGCACCUUGUAUAUAGUAGAUUGGGAAGUUAUUUCUCUUUUUGCGUGUAGGCCGCUUUCUCUCUGUGGUAAGGCCUUUGGUCUCCAGGGAAUGGGAUCAUGUCUGUCCUCUGGAAUUCCCCAUACCAGGGACAGUACUUAAUCUUGAAGCAAUGUUCCAUAAUGCUUGGCAAUGACAAUCUGUGCCCACUGGGGUCAGUGAGAAGAAAGAGGAUGUUCAGGAAAUGGAAACUGGUUUGGAAAAAUGAAAAAUUUGAAAGCAUGCUCAAUCCCAGGUGGAAAGGCUCAUUGAGCAGCAGAAUGAGAUAGAGUAUCUGACCAGAGGGAAGACUUUUUAAGAAUAAUUUUAAGAGCACAAGUUAGCUACAGCUCAUCGGGCUUGGUAAAAGCCAGAUAGAUUAAAGAAAAGACGGCACAGAAUCUGAGAAUUCCCUUGAUUCAGGGUUCGGGUGGAGAGGGUAGCUUCCACCGGAAACACCAAGCGCUUAUGCCGGAAGCUGAGCAGGAAAGGACAGUGUUCCCAGAGCUGGGAUGAGCUCAUAGUGACUGCUGGGGUGAAAUAAAGAGGAAGGAACUGUGAAACCCUGGCUACACGCUGACCCACAGGCAUGGCAUUGACUAACUCUCAAGAUAAUUCUCUCGUGCUCUUUGGUAUGAGAUGCUGAUGUCUUGCUCUAGAAGCCUAUGGGAUGGGAGAGAUGUGCAGCCUUGGGCUAGAAGGCCAAACUCUUGAUCAUUCAUUCAUUCACAUGUUCAAUCAUAUUUGAUAUGCAAUUACUAUAUGCCAAGUCCUGGGGAGAGAGGGGUGCAAAAGAGAAAAAAACAUAACUAAUUUCAUGAAAUUCAUUUUCUAGUAGAAAGGUUUAUGUGUAUGUGAGAAGAAUAAGUAGAAAAAAAUUAAUGAACAAGAUAAUUUCUUAUAGUAAUGAUAAGAGCUGUGAAGAAAAUCAGACACUAUGAUACGCUAGAGCCAGAGUUGUCCAAAGCAUGGUCCUGGGUCAACAGCAUUGUAUCACAAAGAAGCUUGUUAAAACGCAGAAUCUCAAGAAACACCACACACCUAUUGGAUCAGAAUCUGCAUUUUAACAAGAUUCCCCCCACUGCCGCCAUGAUUCCUAUGCACGUUAACGUUUGCCAAGUACUGUGCUAGAGUGUUUGGAAAGGGGGAUCCUUUAGGUUGGAUAGUUAGGGAAGCUUUCUCUGUGGAGGUGACAUCUGAGCUGAGACCUGAAUGAAGAGAAGCCAUCCAUGUAAAGAUCUGGGAGCAGAGCAUUCCAUGCGGAGGGAAUAGAAAAUUCAAGGGACUGGAUGGUAAUACGCUUAGUGUAUUCAAAAAACAAAAAGAUGUGCUCCCUCAUCAUGGACUCUCUCUUCUCUCCUUACCUCGUUAGUCCUUAUCCAGCUGUCAGGCCUCAGUCCGAACCGUGCUUCCUCCUGGAGGCUUCCCUGAACUCAGAAGACCCUUCCCAUACUAUCCCACCCCCACCCUAUUCUAGUUCUGUGUGCGAGUGAUCUGGUUGUUUAUCUACCCAAUAUGUCUGCAAUCUUGGUACUGAACACCUGCUUUAUAAUUUUAUUUAAUGAUUAUUUGAAUGAAAGUGAGAAUCCCAGAAAGAUGUCAGAGGUAGGCUAUAAAACUAAUCAUACCGGGGCCAGGCCGGUGGCGCAGCAGUUAGGUUCGCACGUUCUGCUUCUCGGUGGCCCCGGGUUCACCGGUUUGGAUCCUGGGUGCAGACAUGGCAC